UAGUUUUACCCUACUGAUGCC
rnacentral:siRNA from 1 species